AAAUAAAAUUGGUUUAAUUUUUUAUUUUUUUAUUGUAUAUAUCCAUAUGCAAAAGAUUGAAACUGGAUCCUUAUCUUACACACAAAAAUCAACUCAUAAUAGAUUAAAGACCUAAACAUAAGACCUGCAACUGUAAAAUGCCUAAAAUAAAACACAGGUGAAAAGCUUUAAAACAUUGCUCUUGGCAAUGAUUUCCUGAAUACGACACCAAAAGUACAGAAAAGAGGAAAAUUGGACAAAUAAGACUACAUUAAACUAAAAAGCAUAUGUGCAGUAAAGGAAAUGAGUGAAAAGGCAAUCUAUGGAAUGAGAGAAAAUAUAUGCAAACCAUAUAUCUUAUAAGAAAUCAAUAACCAAAAUAUAUAAAAAACUCCAUAACUCAAUGGCAGAAACACAACUUGAUUAAAAAGCGGGCAAAGAACUUGUUUAGACAUUUGUUCCAAGAAAUACAAAUGGCCAACAAGUAUAUAAAAAGAUGAUCAAUAUCAGUAAUCAAGCAAGGAAAUGCAAAUCAAAACCACAAGGAGGAGGGAAAGCAAUGCGAUAUCAACCGACACCUGUUACGAUGGCCAUAACCAAAACACAAAAUAACAACUGUCAGCAAGGAUGGGAAGACAUUGGAACCCUUGUGCACUUUUGGAACUGAAAACUAGGACCCUGAAGAGGCAUCUGCACUUCUGUGUUCGUUGCAGCAUUACUCGCAAUAGCCAAAGGGCAGA
rnacentral:lncRNA from 1 species